rnacentral:ribozyme from 12 species
AUUCUUUUCUUCCUUCUUCUUGUUAUUCUUAUACACGACAACGAACGAAAACAAAAUGGAUGCCACAAUUGCCAAUACUAAUGCUAUUCCACAGGCUAUUAGUAACGUUUGUCUCCCCUCCCUGUUGUUGGUGGAGCUGCUGCUGUUGUUCAAAUUUGAAUUGA